rnacentral:rRNA from 1 species
UGAGAGUUCGAUUAUGGCUCAGAUUGAGCGCUGGAUGCUUUACACAUGUAAGUCGAACGGCAGCACGGACUUCGGUCCUGGUGGCGAGGGCGAACGGGUGAGUAAUGUAUCGGAACGUGCCUAGUAGCGGGGGAUAAUUACGCGAAAGCGGAAGAUGACACGCACAGCCAUUCGUGGCGGGGACCCCCGGGCCUUCGCAGACCAGCUAGAGCGGCCGAUAUCGGAUUAGCUAUUGGUGGGUAACGGCUCACCAAGGGCGAUGAUCCGUAGCUGGUUUGAGAGGACGACCAGCCACACUGGGACUGAGACACGGCCCAGACUCCUACGGGAGGCAGUGGGAAAUUUUGGAUAACGUGGGGGAAACUCUGAUCCGCGCUUGGUCCCGCGUGCGAUGAAGGCCUUCGGGUUGUAAAGCACUUUGGCAGGAGUUGAAACGGCACGGGAUAAUACCCCGCAACUGACGGUACCUGCAGAAUAAGCAACCGGCUAACUACUGCGCCAGCAGCUGCGGCAACAUGUGAAAAAAGCGUUAAUCGGGAAUUACUGGGCGUAAAGCGUGCGCAGGCGGGUGCCUGGAAAGAAAGAUGUGAAAUCCCUAGAUAAUUCUUAAACUGCAUUUUUAACUACUGAGCUUAAGGUAUGAGGGAAAAUCUCCGCGUGUAGCAGUGAAAUGUAGAUAUGCGGAGGAACACCGAUGGCGAAGGCAGCCCUGGACACUGACGCUCAUGCACGAAAGCGUGGGGGAAAACAUAGGACGAUACCCUGGUAGUCCACGCCCAACGAUGUCAACUAGCCGUUGGGGCCUUCGGGCCUUUGGUAGCGCAGCUAACGCGUGAAGUUGACCGCCUGGGGAGUACGGUCGCAAGACAAAACUCAAAGGAAUUGACGGGGACCCGCACAAAGCGUGGAUGAUGAUUAAUCUCUGAUGCAAACGCGAAACCCCAUCACCCUUGACAUGUUCAAACCUGAAGAGAUUUGGGAGUGCUCGCGCAGAGAAACUGGAAUGGCGAGGUGUCGCAAGGGCUGUCGUCAGCUCGUGUCGUGAGAUGUUGGGUUAAGUCCCGCAACGAGCGCAACCCUGUCAUUAGCUGUUGCCAGGGCGCACUCUUAAUGAGACUGCCGGUGACAAACCGGAGGAAGGUGGGGAUGACGUCAAGUCCUCAUGGCCCUUAUGGGUAGGGCUUCACACGUCAUACAAUGGUCGGGACAGAGGGUCGCUAACCCGCGAGGGGGAGCCAAUCCCAGAAACCCGAUCGUAGUCCGAUCGCAGUCUGCAACUCGACUGUGUGAAGUCGGAAUCGUUAGUAAUCGCGGAUCAGCAUGUCGUGAAUACGUUCCUGGUCUUGUACACACCGCCCGUCACACCAUGGGAGUGGGUUUUACCAGGCGGGGUUAGCCUAACCGUAAGGAGGGCGAUUACCACGGUAGGAUUCAUGACUGGGGUGAAGUCGUAACAAGGUAG